GGGUGUCUGUAAUCUAGCCCCGGAGAAAGGGGGUGGCUUUAAUCCCGGUUGAAAGGGGGCCGCGGCCUAUCUAUUGGGGUGAGUCGAAAAUAUGGUGGGGAGAUGUAAUCCGGAUGGGGGGUGGGAGGGGGUUUGUAAACAGCCCCAGAGAGGAUCUUUAAUCCGGACCCUGAAUGCGAGGGUGGGUAUUUAAUCCGGAGUCCCUUUGUGCUUAAUCCCGGGGAUUCCCGAGUCUCAGGGAGACUCGUGUGCGGGGGUGGGUGUCCCAGUCGGGGGAAGACUGAGCUUCAUUAAGGGCUGAAAUGUAAUUUUCCUUCUCGGUCCGGAGCUGUGGAAGGUAAAGUGCCUGCGUCUUGCCACGCCCACCCCGUGCCCUCCCGCAAGCUUGCUGUGGACACCGUGUUACACAGGAGGAGGCAUGUUCUCCUUUGCCGUUCGCACUGGGGGGCGGCGGCGGCGGCGGCGGGGAGAGAGGCGCCCGCGCCUUCUCCACUCCCAGCGGAUCGUUUGCCUACAGCUUGUCAAAUCGGGGAGUGAGGUAGUUGUUGUUCUGCCCCAUAUGCGGACUGUGAUUGCUGUCCUGGAGAAGGAGGGAUGAUUCCCCCAACUCCCUACUUGCAUUCCUUCGUGAAGCCUCCAUAUGUGGUGGCCCCCCACCUUGACAAAUUCUCCCGACGGGGAAAUGUGGUGAUUUGUAGUUUAUCCUCUUCCAACCAGUUGAGCGAUGCCUCCCUCCGAAGUUUACAUUCAAAAGCAGGUGCCAAGCAGCAAGGAUUUGUUGCAAUGAUAGGACUCCGAAAUUCCUUUCCUCCACCCAGCUAUCACCACCACCGAAGACUUCCCCUAACUUUCAUUCCGAGGUAGGGAGAUUACCUUUUAGGGAUUAAUUUAAAAGCAGUUAUACACAGUUUUCUCCCAUUGGUGAGGAAAAGCUUUAUUGUGAGUGUAUUGCUGCUGAUAUAUUUACAAUCUCACUUAGGCUUUGUGAAAUUUCCCUCAGUCCCUACUAUCCCAGUUUGAGAACAGCUCUGUUGCCGACUGUUCUGUUUCCUGGGAGUUGUUUGUGUUGUUCCUUCAACAGCAGGAAUAAUAAAAAGAACUAGUUCCUCACAUACCAGUAGACAGCAUAGAUAUAUAAUAUUCAGAGAAGCAGAGGAGCCAGUGAAACAAAAUCAAACACCUUGACCUAUUUUGUACUACAUUGGCUUUAAAGGUGUAGCUAACUUCUAAACCUUUUGCCAUAAUAAUCAAAAUACGUUAACUUAAGUACAAUGAGAUAAUAGUUAUUCUUGAUUUUCACAUUUUCUCCUCUGUUCUUUUAUCAUAAUAUUUAUUCCAUUAAAAUAUAAUCUCUUUCCUCUCAUGAUAAAAUUAAUAUAUUUUUGCCCCAGAGGCCCCUAGCCUGUUCUCUCACCCACAAGUAUUUUUUGUCACCACAUCAUGUUAUUAUCUCUUAAUAAACAUAAAAUGCCAUUACUUUGCAUGGAGUUUUAUGGAGAUUAAAUAAAAACAUGGUUCCUGCUACAAAGAUUGUAAAAUCUAGGAUACCUGAACUAGUGGAGAACCUCACUGGCAGUUCCGUGCGGCUGCAGAGAUCCACCCAUGGAUGUCAUUGUAGGACUGGGGCCUACAAGCCUAGAACAGGAAUAUAGACAGAGAAAGGUGGCUAGUGAAAGGAGAGAUGAGGGAAUCAACUGUGUAUAUUAAGGCAAAAGAAGAGGGGUUCUCAGGAGAGAUUUGAUGGUGCAAUUUGAGGAUGGAUGGUGAACUGAUAGAGUGGUGUUUCACAUGUAGGGAAUAGCAUGUAAAAAGCAAGAGAGGGAGGAGAGGACAAAAAACAAGGUGAGAAGAGUGCAGGCCAUGAAAUGAGGAGUAGAGACUUGACAGGUUGGUGGUGCAGAGCCUUAAAAGUGAAGAUGAGGAAUUUAAACUUUAGAGGAAAUGAAUUUGAGGGAGUUGAAUGGUCAAAACAGCAGCAAUAGAUUAUUUAAUCUUUUUAUUGGGCGGGAGUUAAGAGAGAGUCAAGGAUUUGUCUAUAAUAGUCCAGACAGAAUAGAACUAUGGCUUGAACCGGUUUUGACAGUGGAGAGAAAGAUAAAGGUGCAGAUUUUAUAAAUGUUUUAAAGGCAGAAGCAGCAAGAUUGGGCAAGUCUGUAUAUGAGCAGAUAAAGGAAGGGAGGAGUGAAAGAUUAACCAAGUCUGUGAGUGUGAGUGACCAAUUCGAAAACAAAAACAGUAGAGUGGUGAGUAUUAAUGAAGAAAGGGAAAAGGCUAGAGAGUUAGGAUCAUAGGCUAGGAGUUCAGUUUUUCCAUGUUUCGUUUAAGGAAGCAGCAAGUCACCCAUAAAGAGACAGGAAGAAAUGAGGCCCUGGAUGUAAGGGUAGAGGUAUAUGUGAGAGUUAUCAAUACAGAGGUCGUAAGAAACCAUGAGAGUUCAUAAAGUCACGCAGGGGCAAGGGUAGAGAGGAAAAGAGAGGGGACCAAAGGCAGUGAGUUUUCCUUGUCCUUCCAUAUGACAGCACCUGUACUACUGGAGCUGCCCUGAAAGAGAGUGUGUCAGAUAGGGUUACCCCCUGGAGAAGAUAUAGGUUUCUAUUUACAUAUGAAUUAAAUGUGAUGACAAAAAGUAACUGUCAGUUUUAUGCUAAUGCCUAAAUAAAUAUACAGUUGAGGCUAUUGAAAGUAGCAUUUCCAGCAGGAAAGGAUUUACAUAUUGUCUUGAUUUCCCUGCAGGAUCUCAAGUAAUCUCCAUUACAAUAUUACAAUUACAAUACAUUGUUUCCUUCAAAACUGUGGGGGGGGGGGGGGGGAGGUGAAUUGCAGACGCCUAUACCACACACAAUGCCUUGCCAACCUUCAGUGUUUGAUGUCAAGAACCUAUGCUAAUGCAGGGCUCCCACACAAGUUUUAUUGCCAGAAGUAUAGAUCAGCAACAUACUAAUAAAUGACAGCGCUACCAGUGAAUUAUGGAGGUCAUCUCAAAUGAAUGACAAUAGAAACUAUAGUUUUCUACCACACUGUAUAUUUUGUUUAUACUAUAUUGAUUAGAAAACAGGUAUUAAAGAGAAAAUGUACAUAUUAGUAUUAUGGUGUGUGACUCUCCGUGUAAAGUCAUGCUAAAUAAGAGGUAAAUAAGACCAUGUGACUUUACAGUUAGGAAAAACAGUCCAACAUACAUACUAGUGUAUUAAUUAAAUAUCAGGCUGCUACAAACACAACAUUUCCCAAAUAUUGCUGAGAUAGGUCAGGUAUCUUUUAUAAGGGAAGCUGAGUGACAUCUGCUGAUUUGUUUCAUUUCUUUGAAGUCAUUGCAGCUGAGACUGAUGAAUGAACAGGGUGUAACUUGCAUCGCUGAGGUCCACAAGUGCGGAAUAAAGUCAGUUUAUCUAAUGGUUUGCAUUUUAUGCACACAGUAUAAAUCCGCUUGCUCUAACGGCAAGCCCUAAGACCUUUGUAGCUUUUUGGCACACUGGCUUGGGUUACUUGCCUCUGUUCUAUACCUGGGAAAUCCAUACUGAAUUGUGCUUAUCUCAGUGUUUUACAUUUUUAUGCUUGAUUAUUGUUUGAUUUGAAGGAUAUCAUUUUUUCAGUCUUUUAACAUAAAUGUGCUUAGAAAGGAUCCCACUUAAAAAGAAUCAGCUCUUUAUAGUGCCUGAUCUUGAUAUUUUAUCUCUCAGGGCUUUACUGAAAGGUCUUUCAGUGAUCUCUCUAAUGAUUCUUUGAUUGUCCUAAUCUCUAUUUUAUGUUCAGUACUUAAGUUUAUUUAAAUGUAUAUAGUGAAAUGUACAUAUAAAGACAAGUAUGUGUUUGGAUUUUAAACUAAUGUAUAUAAAUUUAAAACCCUCAACACUAGUGUGAAAGUAUUUAGAUUAUUUUGGUUCUUGUUGUGUUAACAAAUAAAAUUUUGGUUUCAAAUACAGCAAUUAUCUUCCUUUCAAGAGCUGAGCUUCAGUUGGCUUUAUAUAACAGGGACCUGAUUUUCAGAGAUGUCGAACACUUGCAACUCAAACUGAAGACAGUAGGAGCUGCAGAUGCUAUUGUCUCUGAAAUCAGACUCCAAGUAUUUAAUGUUACAAAAGAUCCUUUUCUGAGAUAUGUGCCAAUGCAAUUUUUGAAUCUGUGGAGAUAAAUUAGAAAAUCUUUCUUUUAUACAUCAGAAAACUAGAUGGAAUUAAGAGAUUUAACAGCUGAAAUUUAAAUACUGUAAUACAGUACUUGUGGUUUAGCAGGCUUAACUCAUGAAGCUUGGCCUGCUGAGAUCUUUUUUGGUAGCUCAUUGGUUGCCACUUUGUUUCUGUAGAAUUUAAGAUCUUAUUUAAAAAAAAAAAAAUUACUGUUUAGAAUGUCUUUUCCAGGGGGAAAACCCUGUAUGGGGAAAGGAAACAGGAACUGCUGACUCUGAUUUUCCUAAGAAUUGUCCUAUUGGGGGAAAAGACAGAAUUUACUCUCCCACGGAAUUGGUUGCGUUCAGUUCUCUAAAUCUGCAGAUUGUGGGAGCACUAUUGGAGGCAACUACAUCAUUAUGGAGGCCUUUUGUCCCUCUGCACUCUAUUGGGGCUGCCCAGGAAUGCUGCCCCUAGACACUGAUGGUUGUGGGUCACUGUGUAGGGGUCCACACUACCUGAGGUCUUAUUAUUCGCUCAGCAUUAUCUUUCUCAGGGAUGCCCCAUCAGGUUUGAAGAGAUUGUGCCACAGAUACUUGCAUGUAUGGAAUAUAUGAAGAAAGCUCUCUCCCCUUCCAUGGCCCCAUAAGGAAGAUACCCUGGAAAUUGGGUCCCCCUGCUUUUGAAAGUGGAGGUACCUAUCCAGCCCAAAGUUUCUAGCCCUUACAAAUAUGAACCUGUGCAGUGCUGCCUUUCUGAGUCUGCAGAGAGGGAGCUUGAAACUAUAGCUCUGAAUGAUGGUAGAGAAACAAAUAAAACCAAACACUUGGAAAAUGUUUUGGAUAUACUGAAAACAACAAUAUUCUGAUUCUUAUAGAACUAUACUUCACACCUUGAAUACAGUGAAUGUCCAGAAUUCUUUCCCAGCUGCUUCUACGGUAAUCAAGUGGCCCCACAAAGAAGAGCCUGGAAGCCUAUAAAAGUAGCUGAAAAUAAGGAAAAAACUACUUUAGCUGCCUCUUCUAGGUCAAGCUGCUUUCAGGGACCAAAGUCAGCAGUAGAACUGGAUCCGCUAUGGGAAAAGAUGUGUCCAGUGGUGCAACUGGAUCCACUAUUGUGCAGUAGGUGGUUCCGACCAAGCAGUAAGGAAGGAGAGAGGAAGAAAAGGGAGCAAAGUAACAGAGCAUGUGCACAACUGUUGGGAAAGAGGGAGAGGGUGGGUGGUACAUAAAGACAUCCUCUCUAUAAAAGUGUCCACACAAUGAAAAUGUUUCAGAAUGCCUAUGCUAUGUUUUCAUCUAAAUUUCUUGGGCCUACUUUAACUGAGAUUAAUAGUCAAACUCCAGUUCACUUCAGUGGGAACAGGAUUGGGUCCACUGUUGAUACAUUAUAAGAACUGCCAUUCCCAGGAUGGAAGUUAGUCUCAUGUUGACUUUUCAGUUUUUGUCAAAUUGUUCAGGCCAAUUAUAUUGAAGAUAGUGAAGGCUACAAAACUGUAUUUACAGUUUGAACUAAAAUUGGAUUUGUAAUGAACUGGCACAGAAGUUAUGAAUUGCAUGGAAGAUGUUAAUCUGAGUUCUGGCUAACUUUUCUUUUUAGGCUUUUACUCCAUGACGAUUAGGGGGCAUUCUAAAUUGUAGUAGUGUCCAAGCUAGGAUAGGAUUUUGUUGUUAAAUGUAGACAAUAGUGAAGGCUUUGGUACUUACGUUACUUUCUGUGUCAAAUAGACUGCAAAAAGGGCACUGUAAGGUUCCGUGUUUAUUGUCUCUGUGAUUCCAAAUCAUACCCACUCCCUUUACUAUUAAUAUUUUUUUCCACACUGGCCCUGAACACAGUGCCUGCGAUUUCAAAAUUGAACUGGGUUCUUUCUGGAAGCUGAAUUCUGCUACUAGUUACAUUAAUGCAAUCUCAUUUCCCACAAAUUCUGCACUUGGGUUUCUAGUUCUGCACUUGGGUUUCUAGUUCUAGAAUUUGUCUGUAGAAUCUUUAUCAUAUAUUGAUAAAUUAAUUUCAAAUAAAUGAAGAUGAACCUGUUUAUGCCAGUAGCAAAUUUGAGUAUCAUAAACAGAAUAUAUUAUUGUUUUAAUUCCUUUGUUCAUCAUGUGCAGAAGACAGAUCAGUAUAUUACUGUGUAAUGUCUCCAACAGAUCUAGGACUUUAAAAACAACAGCUGGGCAAAACCUUUCGAAUAAAGCAGAUUAAACUUUUCUAGUUAUAAAGCCAAAUUGAUGCCCACAUCUUCACAAUCCUUCAGAAAACAAGAGCAGGGAGUGGGUUUUUUCUAGGAAGGAAUUUAUGGUUUUAUUCAAAACCAUGCAGAACACUAAGGUUUCUUAUAGUUGUAACCCAAAACCAAAGAAAGUGUGUCAGAUUCUGCAGGGUUUCACUUUGAGUUUUCUGGUUUGUUUGAACUUGAAACACUGAUUAUUAAAGGUGGUGUGGGGACCAAAAUGCAAAGAAUUGACAAAUUGCAUGCAAAGUGGAUUUUGCAUGAUUCUAGUGGAUUCCGGGGUGUCUUCCUUUGCCUCAGCACCCUUGCUCCCGCUUUGCUGCUGCUUCUCCUCCUCCUGCCUUGUUGAACUGGGCUCUGAAGUGUCCAUGGUGGUACUCGGAGUGGAGGUGGGGUCACCCCCAAGUAUCACAUCCAGCUCUUUGUAGAAACGGCAGGUCACAGGGGCAGCACCGGAGUGGCUGUUUGCCUCACGGACUUGGUGGUAGGCAUUCCGCAGCUCCUUCACUUUAAUCCUGCUGUGCAGUGCAGUGCGUCUCGGUCAUGGCCCCUUUCCAUCAUGUCCCUUGAUCUCUGUCCGUAGGUAUCAGAAUUCCUAUGGCUGGAGCGCAGCUGGGACUGGACAGCUUCCUCCCCCCAAACACUGAUGAGGUCCAGCACCUUGCCAUUGCUCCAUACUGGGGAUCGCCUGGCACGUGGAGGCAUGGUCACCUGGAAAGAUUCGCUGAGAGCACUCCACGCCUGGCUGAGCAAACAGAAAGGGGAUUUUCAAAAUUCCCAGAGAAUUUAAAGGGCGGGUCUGACAGUUGGUCAACUGAGGGCAGGGCAGUAGAGUUCAAAGUGAUGACCAGAGUGGCUAGAACAGGCAUUGUGGGACACUUCUGGAGGCCGAUCAGAGCGCACUAACAGACCAGGGCAUCCACACUAGUGCCGCGGCACUCCAGCGGGAGUGUACAAAACGUUAUUCCACUUGCUGAGGUGGAGUACCAGGAGCGCUCUAGCCAUGGAGUCAGAGUGUUCUACGUGCCUUUCCAAUUGUGGACUGGUAGUGAGCUAAUGCCUCGGGGCUUUUUUAAUGCUCUGUAACUCGCAAGUGUAGCCAAGCCCGCAGCCUGUCUACACCCCCUACUCCCCAAAUGCUAGCAGUGUCCUGGCUUUUCUUCUUCUUCCUUUUGCUCCUGGACAUCCUUUUCUUUUUCCUCUACGUCUUACCUCAACUGCUUUGUUCGUUUUUCUCAAAUGUGCAGCGUGCUACCUAGUUCUCAUCUGUAGACAUUUCUCUGCUCCUUUUGGCUCCCAUCUCUGAUAGCUCCUGGUGUUGGCUUGCAGCCCAUCUUGCUGUUCCCUAUGUUCCCUUUGUUGGUGCAAUAACUGACCCAUACUGGAGGCAACAAGGAUCGUUUGUGAUGAAAAACCUGGAUAUCUGUAUAAACUUCUUGACUAAGGAAAUGGAACUUGCAACCUGUGACCUACCAGCUUUCUGCAGAUCACCCCCGAGUGAGAGCUGUUGUGUUAGGCAGUCACUGGAUAAUCCCUUGAGUGAAGAGAUUAGGUAGUUAACACACUAGAACUUUAUAAUUUAACAGCAGUUUUAGGUCCUUAGAUCUUUUAUGUAUAUUUUCACUUGUGCUUAAAGUUUCUGUUGCAGGGUGAUUAAGUAUUUCUCCCUUCUGCUGUGGUUGGGUUUUGAAAGCAUUUAUUUUGAGAGAUUACUUUUCAUGUUAAUAUGGAGACUGGUGCAUCUUCAGCAUUACGAGCCGGGGGGAAAGCAAGCACUCAGUGUCAAAUAUGCUGUACAGUUUCCUAUUAUGGCAGAGGGUUUGAGGGCAGAGUGAAGUGCUCUAGUAAGAUUAGGCAAUAAAAACAUACUAGAAUAACACUGUUUUGGAAACAGAUUUAUUAUACGUAUUGCAAAGCAGUCAGGAGUUAUUGUUAAAAUUACAGAUAGAACAGCCAGUACAUUUGGGGAAUGUGUGCAGGUUCUGAAGAGAAUCCAUUUAUUAACCUUUCUUGCUAUGAAAAUUUAUAGCUGAUAAAUCUGUUACAGACACAAAUACAAAUGAGGCAGAAUAUGUUUUAAAGCAUAGGUUCUCAACAUUAGGCUCACACCUCACCCAUCCCUUUUUUAUGGCUAGAUGGAGAGGCCCCAAAACUUUUCUUUUGUAAUAUGGGGUCACAAUAUGAAAAAAGGUUGAUAACCAUAGUUUUAAAAGAACUAUUGAUCACAGUAAUCUAGUGGUUUCAUUAUUUGCUUACAAGUGUUCCUUCUUCCCCCCCAAGACUGGUGGUACUAAUCUAACCACAGGUAAAAUUCUUCUAUGAUGCACUAGCUAGGGCUGGGCUUUGUUUCAGGAAAGAGCUAUCCCAUUAAAACAAACUCUAGUUAAUUUUACAUGCACAGUUAGUUAUUAAAACAUGCAAUCUUCCCUAAGCAAUUUUGACAGCAGCAUGGUUGUAGGGAUAUUCAAAGUACCCACUAAAUUUUGAUUGAAGUCAAUUUCUCAUUGACUAAUGGGAGCAGGAUCUAACUCCUCAAGCCCCUCAUGAGUCAACGGGUAUUCCUCUGACUCACUUUUCACACAGUACUUACGGUUUUGCUCCUUCACUAUGCCCAUUAAGUGUAAAAGUAUUCAUUUUUUUAGUAUCUUUCAUUAGAUUUCAAAAUACAUUAUGAAAAGGUAGAUAUCCUCAUUUUAUCCAACUAAAGAGCAAUCAAGGGAUUUGUCCAACAUUAUUCAUUUGACAGAACUGGAAACAGAACUUAGAAAUGCUGAUAUCCAGCCAUUUGUGUGACGGAUAUGGCAAUAUCCUGCAAUGUCCUUAAAAUACCUUAUUGUAUGAAGUUUAUGUAUUAUUGUGUGCUGGGAUUGUAUGUAACUUCUUUACGGGGGAGAUGUGACAGAGAUUGUAACAUCCUGCAGUAUUUUUGGGAUCCAUUGUUUAAAAUGAAUGGUUUAUGUAUGAUUGUGUUAUUCCAGGUGGGAGGGAAGCUCAUCCAGGAACUAAAAACGGUGGGUGGUGAUUAAGGCAAAUCAGCCAGUUUGUAACCACCUCAGAGCAGUAUCUCCUCCUGGGGAGGCUCACAUAUAUUAAAUCAACCAAUUUCUCUUGAGACCAACAGACAAAGAAAGGACUUUUGGAUAGUCUGAGAUUAAACUGACUCAAGGCCUUCUUUCUGAUCCAGCAAACAUACAGAACCUUUCUAUCCAACAGAGGGGGACCCCAAUCCUUAGGGAAAGUUUGGAAGAACUUGACCUACUAAGGCACCUAUACGAUUAAUGGGUGACCUCUGAUAAGCUUAUUAGUAUGUGUGUAGGUUUUUAUUCUUAAUGUUUUCUCUGUAAUUUCUGUGUGCUUAUAUAAAGAGCUGAGUGGUAA